ACGGGUGUAGCUCAAUUGGUAGAGCACUGGUCUCCAAAACCAGGGGCUGUGGGUUCGAUUCCUACCACCCGUG
rnacentral:tRNA from 1 species